UCACAACUGAGCCAAUGGUUCUUGAAAUUCGCUUUGAGAUACAAAUGCUUUGGAUUCCAAGCAUAUUUCUGAAACACAGUAUGCUCACAAACCAAGGUUUUACUGUGUAUGGUUUUAUAUGAAACUAUCUCGUUUUUUUUAAAUAAACACUGCAGCAGUGGCCGGGUGGCUCAGGCAGUUAAGCGUCCAACUCUUGGUUUCAACUCAGGUCGUGAUCUCGCGGUUUGUGCGUUCAAGCCCUCCAUCGGGCUCUGUGCUGAGGGUGAAGAGCCUACUUGGGAUUCUCUCUCUCUCUCUCUGCCCCUCCCCCACUCAUGUUCUCUCUCUCUCUCUCUC